rnacentral:rRNA from 1 species
GGGCUUCUGAUGAGGCUCUGGGUCACCUCCCACCCGUGUUUAUUGUACCUUGUUGCUUCGGUGCGCCCGCCUCACGGCCGCCGGGGGGCUUCUGCCCCCGGGUCCGCGCGCACCGGAGACACCAUUGAACUCUGUCUGAAGAUUGCAGUCUGAGCAUAAACUAAAUAAGUUAAAACUUUCAACAACGGAUCUCUUGGUUCCGGCAUCGAUGAAGAACGCAGCGAAAUGCGAUAACUAAUGUGAAUUGCAGAAUUCAGUGAAUCAUCGAGUCUUUGAACGCACAUUGCGCCCCCUGGUAUUCCGGGGGGCAUGCCUGUCCGAGCGUCAUUGCUGCCCUCAAGCACGGCUUGUGUGUUGGGCUCCGUCCCCCCGGGGACGGGUCCGAAAGGCAGCGGCGGCACCGAGUCCGGUCCUCGAGCGUAUGGGGCUUUGUCACCCGCUCUGUAGGCCCGGCCGGCGCCAGCCGACAACCAAUCAUCCUUUUCAGGUUGACCUCGGAUCAGGUAGGGAUACCCGCUGAACUUAAGCAUAUCAAUAAGCGGARGGAU